rnacentral:rRNA from 1 species
GCCAGGGGAUGACUUGUGGAUAGGGGUGAAAGGCUAAUCAAGCCUGGUGAUAGCUGGUUCUCCCCGAAAGCUAUUUAGGUAGCGCCUCGGACGAAUACCAUAGGGGGUAGAGCACUGUUUCGGCUAGGGGGUCAUCCCGACUUACCAAACCGAUGCAAACUCCGAAUACCUAUGAGUACUAUCCGGGAGACAGACUGCGGGUGCUAACGUCCGUAGUCAAGAGGAAAACAAUCCAGACCGCCAGCUAAGGCCCCAAAAUCAUAGUUAAGUGGGAAACGAUGUGGGAAGGCAUAGACAGCUAGGAGGUUGGCUUAGAAGCAGCCACCCUUUAAAGAAAGCGUAAUAGCUCACUAGUCGAGUCGGCCUGCGCGGAAGAUGUAACGGGGCUAAAACUAUGUGCCGAAGCUGCGGAUGUAUACUUUGUAUACGUGGUAGGGGAGCGUUCUGUAAGCCGAUGAAGGUGUGUUGAGAAGCAUGCUGGAGGUAUCAGAAGUGCGAAUGCUGACGUGAGUAACGACAAAACGGGUGAAAAACCCGUUCGCCGAAAGACCAAGGGUUCCAGUCCAACGUUAAUCGGGGCUGGGUGAGUCGACCCCUAAGGCGAGGCCGAAAGGCGUAGUCGAUGGGAAAAUGGUUAAUAUUCCAUUACUUCUGUGUAAUGCGAUGAGAGGACGGAGAAGGCUAAAUCAGCCUGGCGUUGGUUGUCCAGGUGAAAGGAUGUAGGCAUGUAUCUUAGGCAAAUCCGGGGUACUCUAUGCUGAGAUCUGAUAGCAAGCUGUACUUGUACAGCGAAGUGGUUGAUGCCAUGCUUCCAGGAAAAGUCUCUAAGCUUCAGUUACACAGGAAUCGUACCCGAAACCGACACAGGUGGUCAGGUCGAGUAGACCAAGGCGCUUGAGAGAACUCUGCUGAAGGAACUAGGCAAAAUGGUACCGUAACUUCGGGAGAAGGUACGCUGUUGUUGGUGAUGGAACUCGCUUCCUGAGCUGACGACAGCCGCAGAAACCAGGCCGCUGCAACUGUUUAUUAAAAACAUAGCACUCUGCAAACACGAAAGUGGACGUAUAGGGUGUGAUGCCUGCCCGGUGCUGGAAGGUUAAUUGAUGGGGUUAGCGUAAGCGAAGCUCUUGAUCGAAGCCCCAGUAAACGGCGGCCGUAACUAUAACGGUCCUAAGGUAGCGAAAUUCCUUGUCGGGUAAGUUCCGACCUGCACGAAUGGCAUAAUGAUGGCGGCGCUGUCUCCAGCAGAGGCUCAGUGAAAUCGAAAUCGCUGUGAAGAUGCAGUGUACCCGCGGCUAGACGGAAAGACCCCGUGAACCUUUACUGCAGCUUGACACUGAACUUUGACCUUACUUGUGUAGGAUAGGUGGGAGGCUUUGAAGCUGGAACGCUAGUUCCAGUGGAGCCGUCCUUGAAAUACCACCCUGGUAAUGUUGAGGUUCUAACUCUGUCCCGUGAUCCGGGACGAGGACCGUGUCUGGUGGGUAGUUUGACUGGGGCGGUCUCCUCCUAAAGAGUAACGGAGGAGUACGAAGGUGCGCUCAGCGUGGUCGGAAAUCACGCGUAGAGUAUAAAGGCAAAAGCGCGCUUAACUGCGAGACCCACAAGUCGAGCAGGUACGAAAGUAGGUCUUAGUGAUCCGGUGGUUCUGUAUGGAAGGGCCAUCGCUCAACGGAUAAAAGGUACUCUGGGGAUAACAGGCUGAUACCGCCCAAGAGUUCAUAUCGACGGCGGUGUUUGGCACCUCGAUGUCGGCUCAUCUCAUCCUGGGGCUGAAGCAGGUCCCAAGGGUAUGGCUGUUCGCCAUUUAAAGAGGUACGCGAGCUGGGUUUAGAACGUCGUGAGACAGUUCGGUCCCUAUCUACCGUGGGCGCUGGAAAUUUGAGAGGAUCUGCUCCUAGUACGAGAGGACCAGAGUGGACGAACCUCUGGUGUACCGGUUGUGACGCCAGUCGCAUCGCCGGGUAGCUAUGUUCGGAAGGGAUAACCGCUGAAAGCAUCUAAGCGGGAAGCCUACCUCAAGAUAAGAUUUCCCUAGGACUUUAUGUCCUCUAAAGAGCCGUUCGAGACUAGGACGUUGAUAGGUUGGAUGUGGAAGCAUAGUGAUAUGUGAAGCUGACCAAUACUAAUUGCUCGUGAGGCUUGACUAU